rnacentral:rRNA from 1 species
GACGAACGCUGGCGGCGUGCUUAACACAUGCCAGUCGAACGCUGAAGCUCAGCUUUUGUUGGGUGGAUGAGUGGCGAACGGGUGAGUAACACGUGAGUAACCUGCCUCCUUCUUUGGGAUAACGCCCGGAAACGGGUGCUAAUACUGGAUAUUCACUGGUCUUCGCAUGGGGGUUGGUGGAAAGGGUUUUUCUGGUGGGGGAUGGGCCCGCGGCCUAUCAGCUUGUUGGUGGGGUGAUGGCCUACCAAGGCUUUGACGGGUAGGCGGCCUGGGAGGGUGACCGGUCACAUUGGGAGUGAGAUCGGGCCCAGACUCCUACAGGGGGCAGCAGUGGGGAAUAUUGCACAGUGGGCGCAAGCCUGAUGCGGCGACGCCGCGUGAGGGAUGGAGGCCUUCGGGUUGUGAACCUCUUUCGCUCAUGGUCAAGCCGCAACAAUGGUUGUGGUGAGGGUAGUGGGUAAAGAAGCGCCGGCUAACUACGUG